rnacentral:rRNA from 1 species
UACGUAGGGUGCAAGCGUUAAUCGGAAUUACUGGGCGUAAAGCGUGCGCAGGCGGUUUUGUAAGGCAGAUGUGAAAUCCCCGGGCUUAACCUGGGAAUGGCAUUUGGGACUGCAAGGCUGGAGUGCGGCAGAGGAGACUGGAAUUCCUGGUGUAGCAGUGAAAUGCGUAGAUAUGCGGAGGAACACCGAUGGCGAAGGCAAUCCCCUGGACCUGUACUGACGCUCAUGCACGAAAGCGUGGGGAGCAAACAGG